AUUGAACGCUGGCGGCAGGCCUAACACAUGCAAGUCGAGCGGAGCGGCGGACGGGUAAGGAAAGCCUAGGAAUCUGCCUGGGAGUGGGGGAUAACGUCCGGAAACGGGCGCUAAUACCGCAUACUAGCCGAUGAGCCUAGGUAGGAUUAGCUAGUUGGUGGGGUAAAGGCCUACCAAGGCGACGGUCCGUAACUGGUCGGAGAGGAUGAGCAGUCACACGCGAACUAAGACACAGUCCAGACUCCUACGGGAGGUAGCAGUGGGGAAUAUUGGACAAUGGGCGAAAGCCUGAGCCAGCCAUGCCGCGUGUGUGAAGAAGGUCUUCGGAGUGGAAAGCACUUUAAGUUGGGAGGCGGUACCAACAGAAUAAGCACCGGCUAACUUCGUGACAGCAGCCGCGGUAAUUC
rnacentral:rRNA from 1 species